rnacentral:rRNA from 1 species
CCAAUAGCGUAUAUUAAAGUUGUUGCAGUUAAAAAGCUCGUAGUUGAAUUUCGGGGUCAGCAGGUCGGUCGUGCCACCGGUAUGUACUGGCCUUGCUGAUUCCUCCCUCUUGUAGAACCGUAAUGCCAUUAAGUUGGUGUUGCGGGGACACAGGACUGUUACUUUGAAAAAGUUAGAGUGUUUAAAGCAGGCUAACGCUUGAAUACAUUAGCAUGGAAUAAUGAAAUAGGACGAUCGAUCCUAUUUUGUUGGUUUCUAGGAUUGACGUAAUGAUUAAUAGGGAUAGUUGGGGGCAUUAGUAUUCAAUUGUCAGAGGUGAAAUUCUUGGAUUUAUUGAAGACUGACUACUGCGAAAGCAUUUGCCAAGGAUGUUUUCAUUAAUCAAGAACGAAAGUUAGGGGAUCGAAGACGAUCAGAUACCGUCGUAGUCUUAACCAUAAACUAUGCCGACUAGGGAUCGGAUGAUGUUAAUUUUUUAAUGACUCAUUCGGCGCCUUACG